GCUUGCUCCCUGAUGUUAGCGGCGGACGGGUGAGUAACACGUGGGUAACCUGCCUGUAAGACUGGGAUAACUCCGGGAAACCGGGGCUAAUACCGGAUGGUUGUUUGAACCGCAUGGUUCAGACAUAAAAGGUGGCUUCGGCUACCACUUACAGAUGGACCCGCGGCGCAUUAGCUAGUUGGUGAGGUAACGGCUCACCAAGGCGACGAUGCGUAGCCGACCUGAGAGGGUGAUCGGCCACACUGGGACUGAGACACGGCCCAGACUCCUACGGGAGGCAGCAGUAGGGAAUCUUCCGCAAUGGACGAAAGUCUGACGGAGCAACGCCGCGUGAGUGAUGAAGGUUUUCGGAUCGUAAAGCUCUGUUGUUAGGGAAGAACAAGUGCCGUUCAAAUAGGGCGGCACCUUGACGGUACCUAACCAGAAAGCCACGGCUAACUACGUGCCAGCAGCCGCGGUAAUACGUAGGUGGCAAGCGUUGUCCGGAAUUAUUGGGCGUAAAGGGCUCGCAGGCGGUUUCUUAAGUCUGAUGUGAAAGCCCCCGGCUCAACCGGGGAGGGUCAUUGGAAACUGGGGAACUUGAGUGCAGAAGAGGAGAGUGGAAUUCCACGUGUAGCGGUGAAAUGCGUAGAGAUGUGGAGGAACACCAGUGGCGAAGGCGACUCUCUGGUCUGUAACUGACGCUGAGGAGCGAAAGCGUGGGGAGCGAACAGGAUUAGAUACCCUGGUAGUCCACGCCGUAAACGAUGAGUGCUAAGUGUUAGGGGGUUUCCGCCCCUUAGUGCUGCAGCUAACGCAUUAAGCACUCCGCCUGGGGGAGUACGGUCGCAAGACUGAAACUCAAAGGAAUUGACGGGGGCCCGGCACAAGCGUGGAGCAUGUGGUUUAAUUCGAAGCAACGCGAAGAACCUUACCAGUCUUGACAUCUCUGACAUCCUAAAAUAGGACGUCCCCUUCGGGGCAGAGUGACAGGUGUGCAUGGUGUCGUCAGCUC
rnacentral:rRNA from 2 species